rnacentral:SRP_RNA from 1 species
GCUGGGCAUGGUGGCGCAUGCCUGUAGUCCCAGCUGUUUGGGAGGCUGAGGCUGGAGGAUCACUUGAGUCCAGGAGUUCUGGGCUGUAGUGCGCUAUGCCGAUCAGGUGUCCUUACUAAGUUCAGCAUCAAUAUGGUGACAUCCCGGGAGCGGAAGACCACCAGGUUGCCUAAGGAGGGGUGAACUGGCCCAGGUCAGAAAUGGAGCAGGUCAAAACUCCCAUGCUGAUCAGUAGUGGGGUCAUGCCUGUGAAUAGACACUGCACUCCAGCCUGGGCAACAUAGCGAGACCCCAUCUCU